UGUAUAUCCAAUAUCCCUUUCACUAACAUUCUCCAAAAGCAAAAGAAAAUGAAUCAUCGCUUUGGCUUGAUGAGCUGCCUUCUUGUCAUUACAUUUCUCAUUUUCUUAGUUCCCAGGUGUACUCAAGCAACUGGGAGGAGCUUCUCUUCUACACCUUACGCCACCAGAACCCACCAACCUUUUCACUCCCAGCUCCCGCCUGUUAACGUUCGCUUCAAAGGUCAAGAUCACGAGUUCGAAUUCCAGAAACGCAGAGUUCCUACAGGAUCAAACCCGUUGCACAACAAGAAGAGAUUAUGAAGAUUUUAUAUGCAAACUAGCUAAAGCAUAGAUUAUUUAGAAGCACUUGUAUAUUUAUACACCUCUAGAUAAUAUUUUGCUAGAGUUCUGUUUAAUUAAUUUUGUAGAGAUAUGGUACGUAUAGAAG
rnacentral:misc_RNA from 1 species